rnacentral:rRNA from 1 species
UACGUAGGUGGCAAGCGUUGUCCGGAUUCAUUGGGUUUAAAGGGUGCGUAGGCGGUCUAAUAAGUCAGUGCUGAAAUAUCCCGGCUUAACCGGGAGGGUGGCAUUGAUACUGUUGGACUUGAGUAGAGUUGAGGUUGGCGGAAUUGACGGUGUAGCGGUGAAAUGCUUAGAUAUCGUCAAGAACACCGAUAGUGAAGACAGCUAACUAAGCUCAAACUGACGCUGAGGCACGAAAGCGUGGGGAGCAAACAGG